rnacentral:rRNA from 1 species
GGAGCUUUUGCUCCUGGUGGCGAGUGGCGAACGUUUUUUGUAGUAAUGCGUCGGAACGUACCGAGUAAUGGGGGAUAACGCAGCGAAAGCUGUGCUAAUACCGCAUACGCCCUGAGGGGGAAAGUGGGGGAUCGCAAGACCUCACGUUAUUCGAGCGGCCGACGUCUGAUUAGCUAGUUGGUGGGGUAAUGGCCUACCAAGGCGACGAUCAGUAGCGGGUCUGAGAGGAUGAUCCGCCACACUGGAACUGAGACACGGUCCAGACUCCUACGGGAGGCAGCAGUGGGGAAUUUUGGACAAUGGGGGCAACCCUGAUCCAGCCAUUCCGCGUGAGUGAAGAAGGCCUUCGGGUUGUAAAGCUCUUUCAGCUGGAACGAAACGGUGCGCUCUAACAUAGCGUGCUAAUGACGGUACCAGCUUAAGAAGCACCGGCUAACUACGUGCCAGCAGCCGCGGUAAUACGUAGGGUGCGAGCGUUAAUCGGAAUUACUGGGCGUAAAGCGUGCGCAGGCGGAUUGUUAAGCAAGAUGUGAAAUCCCCGGGCUUAACCUGGGAAUGGCAUUUUGAACUGGCAGUCUAGAGUGCGUCAGAGGGGGGUGGAAUUCCACGUGUAGCAGUGAAAUGCGUAGAGAUGUGGAGGAACACCAAUGGCGAAAGCAGCCCCCUGGGAUGACACUGACGCUCAUGUACGAAAGCGUGGGUAGCAAACAGGAUUAGAUACCCUGGUAGUCCACGCCCUAAACGAUGUCACUGGUUGUUGGGGGAGUGAAAUCCCUAGU